rnacentral:rRNA from 1 species
UACGGAGGGUGCAAGCGUUGUUCGGAAUUACUGGGCGUAAAGCGCGCGUAGGCGGUCUGUUAUGUCAGGUGUGAAAGUCCAUGGCUCAACCAUGGAAGUGCAUUUGAAACUGACAGACUUGAGUACUGGAGGGGGUGGUGGAAUUCCCGGUGUAGAGGUGAAAUUCGUAGAUAUCGGGAGGAAUACCGGUGGCGAAGGCGACCACCUGGCCAGAUACUGACGCUGAGGUGCGAAAGCGUGGGGAGCAAACAGG